AGCUCCUUGAAGUACUGAGUAUGGAGGUAGUUCACAUCCCCAUUUCUCUUUCUGUGAUGGCUGGAGUGCCAACUGCCAUCUUGAGACCGGGUGCCUUUUGAGGACUACAAACCCUGGACAAAGGAAAAAAGAGAGAAGGUUGAAUUGCUCUAUGUACUUUGCAACUCUGCUCCUUGUGUGUGUUUGGAAGAUUCUGAAGCACUGCGGCCGGCGUGCAGACUGACAGCUGAAGGAAUACAACAUGACCCUAGAUUGCCAAGCACAUGGUAAACUUCAAGCCCAUCUUCGAUGACACCACAUUGGAAAAUAGAGGCCAGAUCUUGAGUCAAGAGGAACAUUAUCAAUGACUACUUCACAUGAUAUCUCUGAGAAGGAGUCAAGGAAUCAGGGCAGUCAUGGAAUUUGACACUCAAAAAUUAAAAUCUCAUUAAAACUGAACAACCAGCAUCCCCCCAAAGCUUCAAGAUCAGGGUGUUGACCAACCACUCUGGAGCCCUUACUGUUCACAAGGCGCUGCACCAAACAUGUAACAUA